GACAGAGGUGGCAAGCGUUGUUCGGAAUCAUUGGGCUUAAAGAGCACGUAGGCGGUCCUUCAAGUGUCUUGUGAAAUCCCUCGGCUCAACCGAGGAAUUGCUGGGCAUACUGUGGGACUUGAGGCAGGUAUGGGCGAGUGGAACUCUUGGUGGAGCGGUGGAAUGCGUAGAUAUCAAGAGGAACGCCGGUGGUGAAGACGACUCGCUGGGCCUGUCCUGACGCUGAGGUGCGAAAGCCAGGGGAGCAAACGGG
rnacentral:rRNA from 1 species